AAGUCGUAACAAGGUUUCCGUAGGUGAACCUGCGGAAGGAUCAUUACAGAGAACAUCGCCCCUCGCAGGUCGGGUAGCACUCUCCCAAACCCCUUUUUGUUAUUUAUACCCUCUGUUGCUUUGGCGAGCCGCCUCGGCCACCGGCUCACGCUGGUGAGUGCUCGCCAGAGAACCCCAAACUCUGAAUAUUAGUGUCGUCUGAGUACUAUAUAAUAGUUAAAA
rnacentral:misc_RNA from 1 species